GUGAAAGUGGCAGAUUCCGGUUAAUGCUAAAGGCUUAAAACCUUUCCACGUGGGUUCAAAUCCCUCCUUUGACU
rnacentral:tRNA from 1 species